GAGGAGGAAGUGAGAUAGGAGAUGCCAGAAAAAGCAGAAGGAAGAGGAGAGGAAGAGAAAGAGAGAAGCAAAGAGCUCCCUGGAAGGUGGGAAGGUGAGAGCAAGAAUUAGGUUCCUCCUUUCUGAACUAUGUUUCCAUGGCAGAGUGAGCCACCAAGCACCAGACCCUUUGAGGACUGCCAUCAACGACAAAUGUUCUUUUAUAGAACACAGCUCCAGAGAUGUGACAUACAGAGUGUGGCAUACACAUGGUGAACAGCCUGGGAAGAAGAAGGAAGGGCUGUGGUGGGGAGGGAACUCUUGUUUUUCUCCAGCUGAUUGAUGGGGACUUAGAAAAGCUGGAGUGGGAAGGGGUUCUCUUCUGGGCAUUUGAGAAACAGAGAUGCUGAAGCAGAUUCAUCUUGACUUCUGAGCUCAGGAAGAGAUAGAUGGGGUCCUACCCUGAUAGGCUGACCCUAGGAAGUCAUGUUUCAAAGAGGAAAUCUGAAAUCCCAGGUUAAGCUGGGAAAACCUAGAAUGAGCCCUAGCUCAUAUCUUGUCAGAAGCUGCUAGGCUCCAUCUGAAUAUAGUACAGUGCUCAAGAGUAGGGCCAGACACCAUGGAUCACAUCCUGGGCCUUCCUGAGAAAGUAGGGACAUACUACCCUGUACUUCAGUUUCCUUAUUAUAAAGAGGGACCAUCAGCUGAUCUAUGCCAUAGCUCUGUUGUGGGCAUCAAACCUAAGGGCCUGGUGAAUACUAUAUAUUAUUUGUAUCAUUAAUUUAUUUGGCUAUCAUAGACUCUCAUGCAGCCCUUGUCAUGGAGAGAGAAAGAGAAGAUGGCUUCCCUCAAGCAGGCAGAGAUUCUGUGCUUUGUCACCUUGUCUGUGAUAUCUGCUGUCUUGAGGUUAUUAUUGCUGUGAUGAAACACCUUAUUCAAAUCAU